rnacentral:pre_miRNA from 1 species
AUCCUACUCCCUCCGUUCCAAAUUACUCGUCGCAGAAAUGGAUGUAUCUAGAACUAAAAUACAUCUAGAUACAUCCAUACUUGCGACAAGUAAUUCGGAACGGAGGGAGUACUUG